rnacentral:misc_RNA from 1 species
GCGAGUUGCAAAACUCCCAAACCAUUGCGAACGUACCUGCCGUUGCCUCGCCGCCAGCGUCCCCGCCAGGGAGCGUCGGCGGCGGCGGCUAACCAAACUCUUGUAUGUACAGGCCUCUCUGAGUACAUUUAUAACAAGUUA